AGGGAAGCCACCAAGACACCCAGACAGCUGUGAAGGACUUAUAGGCUUCUGUGGCUGUGAUUGGAGAAACUGUGAAGAGUGAAACAUUUUUCUGAGACAGAAAAUCUGAUCUGGUCCAUCUGUGGACUCGUGGACACCGCCAUCUUACAAAGGGUUCACUUACAAAUACUGCAUGCUGAUUGGUCCAAAUCAAUGUGGACGUCAUUCUGCACCAACUGGAAUGAAAAAGCACCAAAUUUAAAACAGAAUUUUUUCAAUAAAAACUGGAAGAAAUAAAUUUUUCAAACAUAAAACCUAAAUUUAGUUCUUGAUGACCUUUGAAACAUGUAGUUUUAGUUCUGGAGGAUCUGCUCCAAUAUGAGGGACAUGUAAUGCCUGCAGCUGAUUGGCUGAACACACCUGACUUAGUGAGCAGUGGGUGGAGCCUGGAGAGUCGGGUGACCUCCGGAAGCACGGUUGAUGAGCCCUGAUUGAUUAAAUCCACUUCAACAGAUUUUAACCAGAAUCUUCAAACCUGAAAAAGCCAAAAGUUGUUGUUUGCUGCUGAUCAGCACAGUUAGAGGUGAUCAAUAAUCAAUGAUCCAUUUGGAGCUAUGAGUGUGUUAGAAGAGAAAAACUAAAGUGUGUGGAUGAGAUCAAUGUCAUGUUGAUGUUUCCAUGAUUAAAGACCAUGUGUUGCUCCGCCCCCUCCUCCUUUCAGGGUGGAUCCUGGUGGAGUCCGAUGGCUGAGACCAGGUCUGAGGAAGUAUUUCUCUGAACUCUAUCUGGAUCCAAACUCAGUGAACAGAAAACUCAAACUGUCCAAAAACAACACAAAGGUG